GAUGAACGCUGGCGGCGUGCCUAAUACAUGCAAGUCGAGCGAACAGACGCGGAGCUUGCUCCUCUGACGUUAGCGGCGGACGGGUGAGUAACACGUGGAUAACCUACCUAUAAGACUGGGAUAACUUCGGGAAACCGGAGCUAAUACCGGAUAAUAUAUUGAACCGCAUGGUUCAAUAGUGAAAGACGGUUUUGCUGUCACUUAUAGAUGGAUCCGCGCCGCAUUAGCUAGUUGGUAAGGUAACGGCUUACCAAGGCGACGAUGCGUAGCCGACCUGAGAGGGUGGUCGGCCACACUGGAACUGAGACACGGUCCAGCCUCCUACGGGAGGCAGCGGAGGGGAAUCUUCCGCAAUGGGCGAAAGCCUGACGGGGCAACGCCGCGUGAGGGAUGAGAGUCCUCGGAUCGUAAAGCUCUGUUAUGAGGGAAGAACAAAUCUGUAAGUAACGAUGCACGUCUUGACGGUACCUAAUCAGAAAGCCACGGCUAACUACGUG
rnacentral:rRNA from 1 species